CCCCUCUCAGAAUUGCACCUGGAGAGUUUCCAGUACUCUACCAGUUUGAGCUUCGGGAGGGAAAAUCAAGCAGAGUAUGCCUCUACCCAUUCCAUUCCUAGCUUGAGCAGUGGCUAGUGAUUGGAAGGAAAUCUGCUAUAGGU